rnacentral:rRNA from 1 species
GACGAACGCUGGCGGCGUGCUUAACACAUGCAAGUCGAACGGAGCGAAUGAAAGCUUGCUUUUAUGCGCUUAGUGGCAAACGGGUGAGUAACACGUAGGCAACCUGCCGACAGGAUGGGGACAACAUUCCGAAAGGAAUGCUAACACCGAAUGAAGCGGGGAGAGGCAUCUCUCCUGCGUGAAAGAUGGCCUCUAUAUAUAAGCUAUCACCUGUCGAUGGGCCUGCGUCUGAUUAGCUGGUUGGUGAGGUAACGGCUCACCAAGGCGACGAUCAGUAGCCGGUCUGAGAGGAUGAACGGCCACAUUGGGACUGAGACACGGCCCAGACUCCUACGGGAGGCAGCAGUGGGGAAUCUUCCGCAAUGGGCGCAAGCCUGACGGAGCAACGCCGCGUGAGUGAAGAAGGUCUUCGGAUCGUAAAGCUCUGUUGAUGGGGACGAACGUGCCUAAUGCAAAUAGCUUUAGGUAA